GUCCACGCCCUAAACGAUGCCAACUAGGUGUUGGGGAAGGAGACUUCCUUAGUACCGUAGCUAACGCGUGAAGUUGGCCGCCUGGGGAGUACUGUCGCAAGAUUAAAACUCAAAGGAAUUGACGGGGACCCGCACAAGCGGUGGAUGAUGUGGAUUAAUUCGAUGCAACGCGAAAACCUUACCUACCCUUGACAUGCCAGGAACUUGCCAGAGAUGGCUUGGUGCCCGAAAGGGAGCCUGGACACAGGUGCUGCAUGGCUGUCGU
rnacentral:rRNA from 1 species